rnacentral:lncRNA from 1 species
UAGUUGUCUUUUUUUUAAGUGCCAAUCUUCUCUCCUGUGGUAUUUUUCUAUAAAAAUUAUCGACCUUCAAUUAUCUUCUUUUUGAGCGUCGGUCUUACUACAAUCAUCAUUUUCUAUAUCUUUUCACACUCACGUCAUCCAAGUAAGCCACACUAGCAAACAUAUCAAUUUAUCAAACUAACUUCUAAAUAAAUUCAUGAUC